rnacentral:misc_RNA from 1 species
CUGAAAGAACCAUGGGGGGGUUUUGAGACUGCGUCCUUAGUGGCGUGUGCUCGAUCCUUCUUAUUCUUUUAUCCACACACCUUUGUGCACCAAUGGGAAAGGGGGGGGGUGAGCUUAGUCUAGUCUCCCCUUUCUUUUUUUUGACAUAAACUAGUUAUAUGCAUGUAUGCGUACUCUACGGAGUCAUCUA